rnacentral:rRNA from 1 species
CCUACGGGAGGCAGCAGUGGGGAAUAUUGCACAAUGGGGGAAACCCUGAUGCAGCGACGCCGCGUGAGUGAAGAAGUAAUUCGUUAUGUAAAGCUCUAUCAGCAGGGAAGAAAAUGACGGUACCUGAGUAUGAAGCCCCGGCUAUAUACGUGCCAGCAGCCGCGGUAAUACGGAGGGGGCAAGCGUUAUCCGGAUUUACUGGGGGUAAAGGGAGCGUAGACGGGAGUGCAAGUCUGGCGUGAAAGUCGUGGGCUCAAGCCGCGAACUGCACUGGAGACUGUACGGCUGGAGUGCAGGAGAGGUAAGUGGAAUUCCUGGUGUAGCGGUGAAAUGCGUAGAUAUUAGGAAGAACACCAGUGGCGAAGGCGGCUUACUGGACUGUAACUGACGUUGAGGCUCGAAAGCGUGGGGAGCAAACAGGAUUAGAUACCCUAGUAGUC